GCGUGAAGGCCGAGUGGCUAAGGCGUUGGACUCGAAAUCCUAUGGGAUCUCCCCCCGCAGGUUUGAAUCCUGCUCGCGACG
rnacentral:tRNA from 1 species